GCAACAUCAGUGCGUUUUCGAUCGCGGAUGCGCAUCGUCGUUAUUCUGAUCCUCGUCGUUGCCGAUAAAUGCGCGGUCAUUAUAAGACGCUACAACGUACGUGGCACGUCUUGACCCAAGUUUAUAUCCGCUAGACGCAAUUUAUACAACGUCAUUUCACUGAUGUUCGAUUGUCAGUGACUAUCGAACAUUUAAUGCUACGUUCCAUUACGAGUUUGACGCAGUAGUACAGUAUUCGCGAUCGUCAGAGUGAAUCCGCCGACAUUCUCCUCAGUUUGAGACGUGAUUAAUCAUUAUCAACUAGACAAUAACGAGAGUGAUUUCAGCGAAAUGGCACAUUCAAUAAACACCCUGUUCCAUCUGGCUAGUCUAACAGCUUACGGCUUCACUCAUUAUUACACCUUCAAUAAAUUGCAUGUUCCUAUGCUCAAGGAAGUCUUCAAAGAAUACGAUCCUGGUCAAAUGAAAUACUUAACAGUAUGGAACGUGAUUCUUCAAGCGGUAUUCUUCUUAAUAUGUUUUCUCAACGACUUAGUCGGCACAAACGCCGUAAAUCCCAAAAAGCCGCCCUUCACACGGAAAUUGAAGGAUUACUUCCAUGCGAGUCUCGGGUUUCCCAUUGCCAUGUUCGUUGGCGUAACUUUUUGGGCGUUGAUGUUAGUCGACCGUGAGCUAGUAUUACCGAAAGCAUUGGAUCCAUACUUUCCAUGGUGGUUGAACCAUUUAAUGCACACGAUGAUCGUAAUAACGACUACAAUCGAAAUGAUUAUCGCGCCACGACAAUAUCCUAAGCGGUCUCGCAGCCUUGGAAUACUCGCGAUCUUUAUGCUUACAUAUUUAGUUUGGAUACACGUAAUCUACUACAAAAGUGGCGUCUGGGUGUAUCCUGUAUUCGAAGUAUUGACGCCGCCGCUGCGGAUCGUGUUCUUCCUAGUGCUGCUAACAUUCUGCACGAUCCUCUACUUCGCCGGGGAGGCGCUGAACAACCUCAUUUGGGGUAACGAACAUACUAAGCAUAAAAAAUCUCACGCCAAAUCCAAGUAGCCUCGUCCAAGCGUCUCUAACGGGUGACAAGUCGCAUCACGUUCUGCCUGCCGCCUGCGGUGGUGGUAAAUAAAACAAAAAUGUAUAUUUUCUACACCUCCGUUGCAGCAUGCACGUAUGUCAUUUAGCGGACAUAUAAACGUCACUUAGAGAAUUUUUAGCGUUGUGUAUGUGCAUGCAAGGCGCAGUUUAAGGUAUAACGGAUGAGGAUCAGCGCGAUUGUUAACCCAGCGCGGUGGAGAUAACAAUAAAACGGAGCCAGGAGCCAGGAGCAUGCAAGGAAAAAAAUACGUAGCGGUAAUGGAGAGCGUCGAACCGGAUUUGAAAACGUAGAAACGGCUGACGGACAAGAGGAAUCUUAAAUGUCGUAAUGUACCGAUCACCGGAAGAUAACGUCGCCGAAGACAUUUUCUUGCAACAAGUGAGAAGUGCCUUGGCGAGACCUAGUACAUUUACAGUACGAAGAUUAACUCCGACGUAGACAUUAAUGUUCUAUUGUAUGAUUAUUGGUGCAGUUUUUCAUUCAGCGAGAUAUUUAGUGAUACGUACGGCCUAAGGAUUAAUAUUGAUUGUCGAUAUUUUCCCAAAUAUUUUAUUAAAUAAGUUGAGGGAAUGAAUCUUGAUAUCCGUUUCGUGCCAAAAAAAUAUGAUUUAAAUUAGAGCGUACGUCAUCACAGGGAUCGACGUGUAAUUAAAAAUAUGUAUUGUUUACAUAUUUGUGUGAUUGGAUUCUAUAAUUAUAAUUCAUUCUACAAUAAAAAUUUAAACGUCAAUGAUUUUACUCCCGGUUUUUCUCGAAGAAAUGGAAAGCAAAGAUUUAAUGCAGUAAUUAAUCUUAACUUAUUGUAAAGAAGCAAUAUAUGUGUGCACACGGCCGCAUUUGCCAUAAGGCGCAUUAGGCGCGAGCUGGGGCCUCAUUUUAAAACCUUACUCCUCACAAAUAACAAUAUAAAAAACAGCCUAGUUAUAGUUGCAAAAUAAAAUACUUGCUUUUAAAUAUUAAAUUCAUAAUAUAAAAAUUAGAGGCCACUGAAAAAUUUGUAAGUGGCAAUUGUUUAUUAAAUUUCGCCUUUUUGCAUCAUGUAACGCAUGUCGAAUUUUAUUUUCAAUAAACUUAAAAAAAAAAAAAAUGCGUAUGACUUGAUUAACUGAAAUAGACUUGUUCUUUUGAGGCCUCAUAUUGAUGUUGCGUCUAGGGCCUCCAAAAGUAUAAAUGCGGCCCUGUGUGUGCAAUUUUAGGCACAGAUUUAAAAAUAUUGAAAGUAGCGAAACUAAAUUUGGAAAAAAAUGCGAUACAUGUAUAUUUCAUAUCAAUAAACACACAUAUACAUGAAUAAUAAAUGAUUAGCAAACAUUUGUUAAUCGUGUAUAUUCGGCGAAAUGUGGUUUUUUAGAUUCAUAUUAUCGAUAUUGUUAAAUAUUGCUUUUCCAAUUGAAUUUUGGAAUAUGACGCAGAAAUAAACGACAAAUAUUUAUUUGUUAUUAAAAUAAAGAUCGCGUUCGAUGUCUUGUAUCUUAUGUAUCCUAUAAAUACGAAUGUGACUUGAAUUAUAGUUAGAUUACGAUAGAUAAAUAGAUUUCUUUGUCACUAAUUUAUAAGAAACAGCCAUAUAACAUCUAAAAAUUAUAAAACGCAUUUUAUUCAGCCACUUGUUAAAAAAAUAUAAAAAUCAGUAUACCUUAUUGUCAUACAUGUAGAGAAAGGAUGUUCGAUACAUUCUUACAAACGCUCGAAGAUAUACUACGAAGGAAUACAAUGCCCAUGAUGCGAGUGGUCGGUUAACGCCGUAUCGAGAUUCGAUUAUUGAUUUCGAUGACAAAGCGUAGAAAAAUAACGAUACUCAUUAUUGUACAUAUACCUUUUCAAAUGUAGUCCGGCUUUUGUUAUUGCACGCUACAUAUUUUACAAUAAUAAAAACUCACAAAUCACACAAUCUCAUUUUCGUUCAGUAAAUAUCGUAAUGAUUGUAAGAGAGAGCGUCAAAAUGAACGUACAGUCCGCCUAUGUCUAGCGAUGCAAUAGUUAAUUCAAUAAAUGAUUAUACUACCUAA
rnacentral:misc_RNA from 1 species